GCCAGACUCCUACGGGAGGCAGCAGUGGGGGAUAUUGCACAAUGGGGGAAACCCUGAUGCAGCGACGCCGCGUGAGUGAAGAAGUAUUUCGGUAUGUAAAGCUCUAUCAGCAGGGAAGAAAAAAGACGGUACCUGACUAAGAAGCCCCGGCUAACUACGUGCCAGCAGCCGCGGUAAUACGUAGGGGGCAAGCGUUAUCCGGAUUUACUGGGUGUAAAGGGAGCGUAGACGGCAAUACAAGUCGGAAGUGAAAUACCCGGGCUUAACCUGGGAACUGCUUUGGAAACUGUAUGGCUGGAGUGCUGGAGAGGUAAGCGGAAUUCCUAGUGUAGCGGUGAAAUGCGUAGAUAUUAGGAGGAACACCAGUGGCGAAGGCGGCUUACUGGACAGUAACUGACGUUGAGGCUCGAAAGCGUGGGGAGCAAACAGGAUUAGAUACCCGUGUA
rnacentral:rRNA from 1 species